rnacentral:rRNA from 1 species
GUGGCGAACGGGUGAGUAACACGUGAGUAACCUGCCCUUAACUCUGGGAUAAGCCUGGGAAACUGGGUCUAAUACCGGAUAGGAGCGUCCACCGCAUGGUGGGUGUUGGAAAGAUUUAUCGGUUUUGGAUGGACUCGCGGCCUAUCAGCUUGUUGGUGAGGUAAUGGCUCACCAAGGCGACGACGGGUAGCCGGCCUGAGAGGGUGACCGGCCACACUGGGACUGAGACACGGCCCAGACUCCUACGGGAGGCAGCAGUGGGGAAUAUUGGACAAUGGGCGAAAGCCUGAUCCAGCAAUGCCGCGUGAGUGAUGAAGGCCUUAGGGUUGUAAAGCUCUUUUACCAGGGAUGAUAAUGACAGUACCUGGAGAAUAAGCUCCGGCUAACUCCGUGCCAGCAGCCGCGGUAAUACGGGAGGGGCAAGCGUUAUUCGAAAUGAUUGGGCGUAAAGAGUCCGUAGAUUGUAAAAUAAGUUAUUUGUUAAAUCAUAAGGAUUAACCUUGUAAAAACAUUUAAAACUGUUUUACUAGAGUUUUUUUCAGAAAAGUAGAAUUUCAUAUGAAAGGAUAAACCCUGUAGAUAUAUGAAGGAAUAUCAAAAGCGAAAGCAACUUUUUGGUAAAAACUGACGUUGAGGGACGAAAGUAUAGGUAGCAAACAGGAUUAGAUACCCUGGUAGUCCACGCCGUAAACGAUGAUAACUAGCUGUCCGGGCUCAUGGAGCUUGGGUGGCGCAGCUAACGCAUUAAGUUAUCCGCCUGGGGAGUACGGUCGCAAGAUUAAAACUCAAAGGAAUUGACGGGGGCCUGCACAAGCGGUGGAGCAUGUGGUUUAAUUCGAAGCAACGCGCAGAACCUUACCAGCCUUUGACAUCCUAGGACGACUUCUGGAGACAGAUUUCUUCCCUUCGGGGACCUAGUGACAGGUGCUGCAUGGCUGUCGUCAGCUCGUGUCGUGAGAU